AUGAACGCUAGCUACAGGCUUAACACAUGCAAGUCGAGGGGCAGCAUGGUCUUAGCUUGCUAAGGCCGAUGGCGACCGGCGCACGGGUGAGUAACACGUAUCCAACCUGCCGUCUACUCUUGGACAGCCUUCUGAAAGGAAGAUUAAUACAAGAUGGCAUCAUGAGUCCGCAUGUUCACAUGAUUAAAGGUAUUCCGGUAGACGAUGGGGAUGCGUUCCAUUAGAUAGUAGGUGGGGUAACGGCCCACCUAGUCUUCGAUGGAUAGGGGUUCUGAGAGGAAGGUCCCCCACAUUGGAACUGAGACACGGUCCAAACUCCUACGGGAGGCAGCAGUGAGGAAUAUUGGUCAAUGGGCGAGAGCCUGAACCAGCCAAGUAGCGUGAAGGAUGACUGCCCUAUGGGUUGUAAACUUCUUUUAUAAAGGAAUAAAGUCGGGUAUGCAUACCCGUUUGCAUGUACUUUAUGAAUAAGGAUCGGCUAACUCCGUGCCAGCAGCCGCGGUAAUACGGAGGAUCCGAGCGUUAUCCGGAUUUAUUGGGUUUAAAGGGAGCGUAGAUGGAUGUUUAAGUCAGUUGUGAAAGUUUGCGGCUCAACCGUAAAAUUGCAGUUGAUACUGGAUAUCUUGAGUGCAGUUGAGGCAGGCGGAAUUCGUGGUGUAGCGGUGAAAUGCUUAGAUAUCACGAAGAACUCCGAUUGCGAAGGCAGCCUGCUAAGCUGCAACUGACAUUGAGGCUCGAAAGUGUGGGUAUCAAACAGGAUUAGAUACCCUGGUAGUCCACACGGUAAACGAUGAAUACUCGCUGUUUGCGAUAUACGGCAAGCGGCCAAGCGAAAGCGUUAAGUAUUCCACCUGGGGAGUACGCCGGCAACGGUGAAACUCAAAGGAAUUGACGGGGGCCCGCACAAGCGGAGGAACAUGUGGUUUAAUUCGAUGAUACGCGAGGAACCUUACCCGGGCUUAAAUUGCAGAUGAAUUACGGUGAAAGCCGUAAGCCGCAAGGCAUCUGUGAAGGUGCUGCAUGGUUGUCGUCAGCUCGUGCCGUGAGGUGUCGGCUUAAGUGCCAUAACGAGCGCAACCCUUGUUGUCAGUUACUAACAGGUUCCGCUGAGGACUCUGACAAGACUGCCAUCGUAAGAUGUGAGGAAGGUGGGGAUGACGUCAAAUCAGCACGGCCCUUACGUCCGGGGCUACACACGUGUUACAAUGGGGGGUACAGAGGGCCGCUACCACGCGAGUGGAUGCCAAUCCCCAAAACCUCUCUCAGUUCGGACUGGAGUCUGCAACCCGACUCCACGAAGCUGGAUUCGCUAGUAAUCGCGCAUCAGCCACGGCGCGGUGAAUACGUUCCCGGGCCUUGUACACACCGCCCGUCAAGCCAUGGGAGCCGGGGGUACCUGAAGUGCGUAACCGCGAGGAGCGCCCUAGGGUAAAACUGGUGACUGGGGCU
rnacentral:rRNA from 1 species